UUCGAUCAUGGCUCAGAUUGAACGCUGGCGGGAUUCUUUACACAUGCAAGUCGAACGGCAGCACGGACUUCGGUCUGGUGAAAAGUGGCGAACGGGUGAUAAUGUAUCCGGAACGUGCUAGUAGCGAAGGGGAUAACUACGCAGCGUAAUAAUACCGCAUACGCCCUUCAGGGAAAGCGGAGGACCUUCAGACCUCCGCACUAUUAAACGGCCGAUAUCGGAUUAUCGUUGGUGGAGGUAACGGCUCGCAAACGAUGCGUAGCUGGUUUGAGAGGACGACCAGCCACACUGGGACUGAACUUGUGAACUCCUACGGAGGCAGCAGUGGGGAAUUUUGGACAAUGGGGAAACCUGGUCAGCCAUCCCGCGUGUGCGAUGAAGGCCUUCGGGUUGUAAAGCACUUUUGGCAGGAAAAACGGCACGGGAUAGCCCCCGUGCAACUGACGUACCUGCAGAAUAAGCACCGGCUAACUACGUGCCAGCAGCCAUGAUGACCGUAGGAACAAGCGUUAAUCGGAAUUACUGGGCGUAAAGCGAUUGCGCAGGCGGUUCGGAAAGAAAAGUCGGCGAAAUCCCGGAGCUUAACUUUGGAAUUUCAUUUUAACUAUAGAGCUAGAGUGUGUCAGAGGAGGUGGAAUUCCGCGAUGGCGGUGAAAUGCGUAGAUAUGCAGAGGAGGAACACCGAUGGCGAAGGCAGCCUCCUGGGAUAACACUGACGCUCAUGCACAGCGUAGAACUGACGAGUUAGAUACCCUGGUAGUCCACGCCCUAAACGAUGUCAACUAGCUGUUGGGGCCUUCGGGCCUUGGUAGCACCAGCUAACGCGUGAAGUUGACCGCCUGGGGAUACAGUCGCAAAGAUUAAAACUCAAAGGAAUUGACGGGGACCCACAAGCGGUGGAUGUGGAUUAAUUCGAUGCAACGCGAAAAACCACCUACCCUUGACAUGUCUGGAAUCCCGAAAAGGGUUGGGAGUGCUCGCAAGAGAACGGAACACAGGUGCACUUGCAUGGCUGUCGUCAGCUCGUGUCGUGAGAUGUUGGGUUAAGUCCACCAGCAAGCGCAACCUUGUCUGGUUGCUACGAAAGGGCACUCUAAUGAGACUGCCAUUGACAAACCGGAGGAAGGUGAGGAUAACGUCAAGUCCUCAUGGCCCUUAUGGGUAGGGCUUCACACGUCAUACAAUGGUCGGGACGGAGAGGGUCGCCAACCCCGCGAGGAGCCAAUCAGAAACCCGAUCGUAGUCCGGAUCGCAGUCUGCAACUCGACUGCGUGGAGUCGGAAUCGCUAGUAAUCGCGGAUCAGCAUGUCGCGGUGAAUACGUUCCCGGGUCUUGUACACCGCCCGUCACACCAUGGGAGUGGUUUUACCGUGGUUAGCCCUAACAGCCAGAGGCGAUUAUACGGUAGGAUUCUGACUGGGGUAAGUCAUGUAAGAUAG
rnacentral:rRNA from 1 species